GCCUGGAAAUCCCUGCACAGCUAAAGAUUGAAAGAUUUGAAAGACCUUACAGGCCUUUCAAAGAACAUUCCCUCUGCCAAAUCUAGGCUUAAAUGCAAAAAACAUGUACUUGAGAAUCCUAGGAAGAACUUGAGAUGUCAAUAGAAGAAAAAGUUGCAUGAUUUUCCUCUCCUGAUCAGGAGGAUAAAAGGAAUGAUUCCUGAAAUAUGAAUUUAAAUUAGGUUCCUUUAUGCUGGGUACUUGUGAGUGUAUGCUGUUUUUUGGUUCACUGCGCUGUAUAGUCUUUCCUGUAGCUGAGAAAUUCUUUGGUCUCCAAAGGGCAAAGAAUCUUCUUGCGACUUCAGUGCGAAGGGGGAAACAAAAGUGCUGUAUACAGAAGAACAUCUUAAAUUUGAGGAAACAGAGGCACAGUGCAUGGAAGCAACCAACAACGGAUAGCAGGCAACAUAAACAGCUGAAAGGAGAACAAAAGCUUCCAGUGUCCCAUGUGUGUGAUCUCAACAUUGAGUCAAUCUGGCAACUGCUGAGGAAGAACGUUCCAGAGCCCUGUAAUGAAGUUUCCCGCUUGAAACACGUCACCGUCUUUUUCCAAGAUAUGGGAGAUGUUGAACUGAGUGACUAAUGUAAAGGAUUGAAAGUGACAGGAAACUUAAGAAAGGAUAUGUGAACAACCAAAUAGUGAAAUACUAACAUAAGUCAUAAACUGUAGCAUUUUUUCUUUUAACCUACUAAAAUGACAAAAUCAUAGAAUUAAGAAACCUAAGUAAACCAAUUAUAUACUGUAUUGAAAUUGAGCUGGCUUUGAAUACAAAAAAAAUAAAGUGUAUAGUGGUCUCUAAUGAGAUAAAUGUUACAAAUUUAAAUUAUUUGUGGGAAGAUAUAUCUAUAAUUUCUUAAUAAGUAUUCAAAUAAAUAAAAUACUCCACCACCCCCUCUUCCCUCCUUGCCUUUCCCUUCCCUGUCUCAUCUGUGCAGUUCCCACAAAUAGGUGCAAACUCUCAAUAGCAUCUGGUUGCUGUAAAUGUAGAUGAAAAUCAGAUAAUGAAGUAUCAAUCUCCAGACUUCUGAGCAUUGGUAAGAACAAUAGGGUUGGCCUUCCAAGGAAUGUGAUCCUGAAAUUAUAGAUGUAUAAUAAUAUUGGUAUUUUGCUUGUGUAAGGAUGGAGCCAGGAACAAUUUUUUUUUACUGUAUUUCAGAGAAUUUCGUAUUGUUUAUGUACUUCAAGCUUGCAUUUAGUCUGUAUUGCUGAUGUUGAUCUACAAGGAGGCUUACUUUACAGGAUGGAUCCAAGUGAAAUAUAUGAGCUCUGCUGUUGAGUUGUAUGUUGUAUGGAGUUGUAUGCAUGUUAUUGUGUUUUGCAAAAAAACAAACCCUUAUUUGUCAUUGUGAGACUGCUUUCAAUUCAUAAUUUACUAAUUUUAGUAGACAUCACAUAUUUUGGAAUAAACAUUUGUUUGCAAAUCCUUGUUAACUGUAAAGGCUUAUAGGCCAGCAGUGGUCAAUGAUUGUUAAUUCAGCUUCUGUUCGAUGAUUUAGGGCAAGCAUCAUGCUUGGCUUUGUCAAACAUGAGAAAGGGAGAGUCGUUCUAAGGAGCACUGGCUGUUGAAUGUUGCUAUAGUCAACUGCAACCUUCCUUUUGAGGAAAGCUGUUUGAGAACAUGUUUCCAGGCUCAACAUUAUGCCACUUACACACAAGCUUAUUGAAAGUCAAAUAUUCCACCAUUCAAUGCCAAGUCCUUAAUUUCACCUUAAUCCUUCAGUUUCCUUUACUGCCAUAUUUGCCUCAUGUAAUGUGUCUCCCAUCUUCAUACAGCAUUCUCCAUUGCUGUCCAAGAUCAAGAAUGUCUUAAGGGAGAACUGUGGUUAUUUUUCUUUGAUUUCUUAGGUUAACUGGCAAUAAAACACGAGCUGUGUGCUGG
rnacentral:lncRNA from 7 species